rnacentral:piRNA from 1 species
GUACUUUACUGGUCAAGGUGUAUGAUAUGC